AAAAACGGGAUGAAAGGCAUUUAGGAGCUAUAAAAUGUUCAGAACUAUAAAAUGUUCUCCAUCGGUCUGACACCAGGGUCAUUCCCCAGG